AUUGAACGCUGGCGGCAGGCUUAACACAUGCAAGUCGAGCGGGGGAAGGUAGCUUGCUACCGGACCUAGCGGCGGGCGGGUGAGUAAUGCUUAGGAAUCUGCCUAUUAGUGGGGGACAACAUCUCGAAAGGGAUGCUAAUACCGCAUACGUCCUACGGGAGAAAGCAGGGGAUCUUCGGACCUUGCGCUAAUAGAUGAGCCUAAGUCGGAUUAGCUAGUUGGUGGGGUAAAGGCCUACCAAGGCGACGAUCUGUAGCGGGUCUGAGAGGAUGAUCCGCCACACUGGGACAGAGACACGGCCCAGACUCCUACGGGAGGCAGCAGUGGGGAAUAUUGGACAAUGGGGGGAACCCUGAUCCAGCCAUGCCGCGUGUGUGAAGAAGGCCUUAUGGUUGUAAAGCACUUUAAGCGAGGAGGAGGCUACUCUAGUUAAUACCUAGGGAUAGUGGACGUUACUCGCAGAAUAAGCACCGGCUAACUCUGUGCCAGCCGCCGCAGUAA
rnacentral:rRNA from 1 species